AACUAAAACUAGCCCAAAAAAUAAUUAAUAAAAUUAUCCUAUACAAACUAAAACAAAACAUUUACUAUCGUUAAAGUAUAGGCGAUAGAAAUAACAUGCUUGGCGCUAUAGAAAAAGUACCGCAAGGGAAAGCUGAGAGAAAUAUUAUAAGUAACAAAUAGCAAAGAUUAAUACUUGUACCUUUUGCAUCAUGGUUCAACCAGAAUAUGUUAGCAAAAAGAAUUGAAGUUAAAUGACCCGAAACCAGACGAGCUACCUUAGUGGCAGCUAAUUAGAGCAAACCCAUCUAUGUGGCAAAAUAGUGGGAUGACCAUAAGGUAGAGGUGACAAGCCUACCGAGCCUGGUGAUAGCUGGUUGUCCAGGACAGAAUUUUAGUUCUAAUUUAAAUUUACAUAAAAAAAGCUAAUUUUUAACGUAAAUUUAAAAAAUAGUCUAAAAAGGUACAGCCUUUUAGACAAGGGGUACAACCCAAACUAGAGAGCGAGCAAAUUAGCGGACCACAAUAGUUGGCCUAAAGGCAGCCACCAAACAAGAAGGCGUUCAAGCCCAACAGAAUACCUGUAACUUAAUUCCAAUAAUAAUACUAACUCCUAGUAUAAAACUGGACCAUUCUAUUAAUAUAUAGAAGAAAUAAUGUUGAUAUGAGUAAUAAGAAAUAUUUCUCCUUGCACACGUGUAUACCAAAGAACGAAUAAAUCACUGAUAGUUACCAAAGUAUGUUAUCACCAAAAAUUCACCUAUACCACUAUUUGUUAAUCCAACACAGGAGUGCAACCAAAGGAAAGAUUAAAAGAAGCAAAAGGAACUCGGCAAAUCUUAACCUCGCCUGUUUACCAAAAACAUCACCUCUAGCAUAAAUAGUAUUAGAGGCACUGCCUGCCCGGUGACUUCAGUUUAACGGCCGCGGUAUCCUGACCGUGCAAAGGUAGCAUAAUCACUUGUUCCCUAAAUAGGGACUUGUAUGAAUGGCCUCACGAGGGUUUAACUGUCUCUUGCUUCCAAUCAAUGAAAUUGACCACCCCGUGAAGAGGCGGGGAUAAAAAAAUAAGACGAGAAGACCCUAUGGAGCUUUAAUUAAUUAGCCCACAAAUAAUAAAAUCUUUCCCCUAUAGGAAUAUAUCUACUUUAACCUGGGCUAAAAAUUUAGGUUGGGGUGACCUCGGAAUAAAAAAUAACUCCCGAGAAAAUUCAUUGAGACUAACAAGUCAAAAUUAAUCCAUUACACAGUGAUCCGCCAUUGGCGAUCAACGAAACAAGUUACCCUAGGGAUAACAGCGCAAUCCUAUUCAAGAGUUCAUAUCGACAAUAAGGGUUUACGACCUCGAUGUUGGAUCAGGACAUCCCAAUGGUGCAGCAGCUAUUAAUGUGUUCGUUUGUUCAACGAUUAAAGUCCUACGUGAUCUGAGUUCAGACCGGAGUAAUCCAGGUCGGUUUCUAUCUAUUUACAGUCUUUCCCAGUACGAAAGGACAAGAGAGACGGGGCCCACCUAUUAUCAAGCGCCCCAGCAAGACAGAUGACUUAAUCUUAAUCUUAUUGUACAAACUACACCCUAGACUAGGGACC
rnacentral:rRNA from 1 species